GCGCGCAGGCUUUGUUUUUGUUGUGACAUUCGAGACUUGUCAUCCAUUCAUUCGCGUUCAUGGACACGUGUUAUUUAUUAUAUAGGUUAUCAAUUGAACGCGAAUUGUGUUGCGUGUGCCGAAGCUUUCGUCAUGCGUUCUAUUGGUCUGAAAACUUCAGUGCGCGAAAUCGGGUGGGGCCUGAAGCAUAACGCCCGGAACACGCCUCGACAGGUGCAUGCUGGAUCUUAUCAGCACUGAUGCAGUAGGUGCAGCCUCCAUGUAAAGGAAUCCUAUGUUUCUCGGCAAGGCAACCGACGCAGGUGAAAGAGCAAGUUG